rnacentral:rRNA from 1 species
GGAACGGAUUAGCGGCGGACGGGUGAGUACCACGUGGGUAACCUGCCUCAUAGAGGGGAAUAGCCUUCCGAAAGGAAGAUUAAUACCGCAUAAGAUUGUAGUUUCGCAUGAAACAGCAAUUAAAGGAGUAAUCCGCUAUGAGAUGGACCCGCGUCGCAUUAGCUAGUUGGUGAGGUAACGGCUCACCAAGGCGACGAUGCGUAGCCGACCUGAGAGGGUGAUCGGCCACAUUGGGACUGAGACACGGCCCAGACUCCUACGGGAGGCAGCAGUGGGGAAUAUUGCACAAUGGGGGAAACCCUGAUGCAGCAACGCCGCGUGAGUGAUGACGGUCUUCGGAUUGUAAAACUCUGUCUUCAGGGACGAU